GAGGAAUAUUGGUCAAUGGACGGAAGUCUGAACCAGCCAAGUAGCGUGCAGGAUGACGGCCCUCUGGGUUGUAAACUGCUUUUAGUUGGGAAUAAAAAAGAGGACGUGUCCUCUAUUGUAUGUACCUUCAGAAAAAGGACCGGCUAAUUCCGUGCCAGCAGCCGCGGUAAUACGGAAGGUCCAGGCGUUAUCCGGAUUUAUUGGGUUUAAAGGGAGCGUAGGCGGAUUAUUAAGUCAGUGGUGAAAGACGGUGGCUCAACCAUCGUUAGCCAUUGAAACUGGUAGUCUUGAGUGCAGACAGGGAUGCUGGAACUCGUGGUGUAGCGGUGAAAUGCUUAGAUAUCACGAUGAACUCCGAUCGCGAAGGCAGGUGUCCGGGCUGCAACUGACGCUGAGGCUCGAAAGUGUGGGUAUCAAACAGGAUUAGAUACCCUGGUGGUCCACACAGUAAACGAUGUAUACUCGCGGUUUGCGAUAGAGUGUAAGCCGCCAAGCGAAAGCAUUAAGUAUACCACCUGGGGAGUACGCCGGCAACGGUG
rnacentral:rRNA from 1 species